rnacentral:rRNA from 1 species
UACGGAGGGUGCAAGCGUUAAUCGGAAUUACUGGGCGUAAAGCGCACGCAGGUGGCUGAGUCAGUCGCUUGUGAAAGCCCUGGGCUUAACCUGGGAAUUGCAGUCGAUACUACUCAGCUAGAGUAUGGGAGAGGGCAGUGGAAUUCCCGGUGUAGCGGUGAAAUGCGUAGAUAUCGGGAGGAACAUCAGUGGCGAAGGCGGCUGCCUGGCCCAAUACUGACACUCAGGUGCGACAGCGUGGGGAGCAAACAGG